GCCCCUAUAGCUCAGGGGAUAGAGCGUUGCCCUCCGAAGGCGAAAGCGCAGGUUCGAGUCCUGCUAGGGGCA
rnacentral:tRNA from 1 species